UGUUUUCCUCACAGUAACUCUGUGAAAUUGUUAACAGGAAUAUUAUAUCCAUUUUACAGAUGAGGAAACAAAUUCUGAGAAGGUAUAUGACUUUCCCAAGAUCAUACAAGUGUUUAAAGUGCUAAAGAAAAGGAACAAAAUUUCCUACUUGAAGGAACAGUGAACUUUUAAAGAAAGGGAUGGUACUAUAUCUUGAAGAAGGAACAGCUUCAGAGAGAAGAUCAAAACUUCUGGCUUCCAGAUUUGAGAAGGAAAGUCAAAGGAAAAGUUCAACCCUAAUUCAGGAGAUAAGGAUGACCUCCAGGGCCAACUUCCUGCUUUCUGGUAGAAAUUAGUGUCCUUUGGAGAAAGGUGAGAGGAGAAGAAGCUAGAGCUGUCUAUUCAGCUUCCCUCUGAGCCACACAAAACAGGUGGGGAUCUUCCCUCUCCCCAAAGGAGAACAGAGAUUAAAGAGUCCCUGAAGAGGACUGAAGAAGGCUUGAGGUCUGCCCUGGUAGGGCAAGGCAUUAAUUUCUACUAUUGAAGAGAGAGUCCUAUACCAGUGGACUUUGGAACAAGAGUUAACUUACUAUUUCCAUACUACUUUAAAGUCUGAAGAGCACUUUUUUUUCAUGAAAACUACAUCAAGUGAAUACUAUGUAAAAUAUAUUUAAGCAGGAGGUUAAUUCAACUGAUAGAUUGUUGGACUUAAGAAUCAAGAAUACUUGAUGUUAAAUCCUACCCCAGCUACUUACUAGCUAUGUAACCCUGACCAAGUUAAUCAGUUUCUCUCAGCCUACACUUCUUUAUCUAUAAAAUGGAGAUAAUUAUUGUAUAUGUUUCAAAAAAAAUUGUAUAUGUUUAUAAAGAUCAGACAACAUAACUAACAUAUGCCAUGUUUUGUGAACCUUAAAGCUCUAUGUAAAUCCUAGCUGUUAUUAUUAAGUUUAUUAAAAAUUCUUAGAGAAUGACUUCUGGGUAAGAAAAUAAAUUUGUUGAUUAGGCUACUAUUAAGCA
rnacentral:lncRNA from 1 species